rnacentral:rRNA from 1 species
CCUACGGGAGGCAGCAGUAGGGAAUCUUCCGCAAUGGACGAAAGUCUGACGGAGCAACGCCGCGUGAACGAUGAAGGCCUUCGGGUCGUAAAGUUCUGUUGUUAGGGAAGAACAAGUGCUAGUUAAAUAAGCUGGCACCUUGACGGUACCUAACCAGAAAGCCACGGCUAACUACGUGCCAGCAGCCGCGGUAAUACGUAGGUGGCAAGCGUUGUCCGGAAUUAUUGGGCGUAAAGCGCGCGCAGGCGGUUUCUUAAGUCUGAUGUGAAAGCCCCCGGCUCAACCGGGGAGGGUCAUUGGAAACUGGGAAACUUGAGUGCAGAAGAGGAAAGUGGAAUUCCAAGUGUAGCGGUGAAAUGCGUAGAGAUUUGGAGGAACACCAGUGGCGAAGGCGACUUUCUGGUCUGUAACUGACGCUGAGGCGCGAAAGCGUGGGGAGCAAACAGGAUUAGAUACCCUGGUAGUCCACGCUGUAAACGAUGAGUGCUAAGUGUUAGAGGGUUUCCGCCUUUAGUGCUGAAGUUAACGCAUUAAGCACUCCGCCUGGGGANCGGUCGCAAGCUGAACUNAAGAUGACCGGNNGNGNGNGCGAGNGACAGAGGAGAG